CAAAAAAUGAUUCAUCUAGCAUUACUCCAACUAGAAACACUAGUGAAUCAAAUUCUCUCCACCGUUGAAGACACCCCAACACUGCUUCAAUCCCUACACAACAAGCGCGUCUUCCCAACCCCGAAAUCUUUUAACCGCGUUUUGAUCUCAGCCGCUCAAAGAAACCAUGUUUACCUCGUAACCGAAAUCUUCAAACUCGCCAUUGCUUCCAAAAUUCAACCCUUAAACUCAAAUUGCUAUCUCACUGUUGCCAAAGCCUUUGCAAAAGCAGAUGAUUGUUUUGUGGAGCUGCUCAAUUUCACCAAGCAAGUACUGGAACCAACCGAGCAUGACAGUAAUAAACAGACUUCUCUUUGCAUUUGGUCAAUGCAAAGAGACCGAUAAUGCAAUUUGGAUCUUUGCCCAGGUGAAAGAUCGAAACUUUGCACUGGAUUUGUACACAUACAACACUGUUUUUGAGAUAUUGGGCCGGGCGGGUCGUACCGGUGAAAUGCUGGGGCUGUUUGGGGAAAUGAAGGAAGCUGGGAUUGACCCGGAUUUGGUUUCAUACAAUACAGUGAUAAACCAUGUGAGGAAGUUUGGGGAAGUUGAUAUGUGCUUGUUCUAUUUCAAGGAAAUGUGUGAAAAGGGUGUUCAGCGUGAUUUGCUUACUUACACUGCAGUCAUUGAUGGGUUGGGGAGGUCAGGAAAUAUUGAGGAGUCAUUGAGGUUCUUCGAUUAGAUGAUGGAGAGGUGGAUUCAGCCUUCGUUGUAUCUUUAUAGAGCAGUGAUCAGUAAUGUGAAGAAGAUUGGGAAGGUGGAGAUGGCAGUGACUUUCAUGGAGGAGAUGAAUUCAUGUGCUUCAAGUCUUGCUUGUCCGAAAUGGAAUAAACGCGAGUAGAAUUGAAUGAAAGCUACGUAUGUAUGUAAUCAAUGGAGAACUAUCGUGAGGGGAGUGAUGAAGAAAACGAUCUGGGUUCAAUAGAUUUUGAUAUGCUGGUCCGAAAUCUUGAGAAAUUCUCUCCAGGUUCCAAUGGACGAAUGACCACUUUGGGUGUGUAUGUGCGUGACUUGCUACUUGGGCAGGUUAGUUUCCUUCCAGCAUGCUUCUCAUUUCACAUGUUAUGAUGUCUAAAUAAUUAUACUGCGUAUCUCUCCCCUCUCUCUCAUUGAGUCAAUUCACAAAGCCUUUGCAAGCAUGUGUAUAUAUUUACAAGUGUAAUAUAUCUGGCCAAUUAGAAAAUAUUUUACCACAUACAUUUCUAAAUUCCAUACUUUAACAAAUAAAAGACUAAAAUAUAGUGCUUCCGCUGGCCGACUUGGAUCUCUUUGUUCUCAGAGAUUAUCCCCCGCCCUCUCAAAGGAAAAGCUUUUUUUCUUAUUUUCUUGCAAUUUCCUGACUUCAAUAAUAAUUCUUAAGAUAGUUCCAGCACUUAAAAGUCCAUAAAUCAUAUCCAACUUAUCAUGAGAAAUGAGAAUAAUAGGCCAAAUCUGUUUCCAAAUUUUAGGUUGGAUAUAUAUUAGUAGAUUGUGUUCAGACCAAAAGGAGAAUCACAACGUUAUGAACCCGAUAAUUUAUGAUGGAUAUGGCACCCAUUUCUUUAUUUUUGGAGAAUCCGUGAGAUUUUAUAAUAUGGUUUAUGUAUUGAGGCCUUCAAGCCCUACCAUAAAAAUUGAUCUUGCUGUUGAUGCUCUUUAUUUGUAUGUAAGAAAGCUUUGUAGCAUAUACCGAGGCAAGCUUCUGUUCUAAACCCAGUAUCAAAUUACUUACUUUUGUUUUUUCUUUUACAAAUGUUGUUGACAAACUUGCGUAGUAUGUGGCUCUCUCUAUGCCCACAUUUUCUUCAAGAAUUUUACUUGUUGAGAGGCCAUAUCUAGUACUAAUGAGGAUCGGAGACAAUUACCAGCUGAAGUUGUUGGGGUACUAGAAAACAUUGGUUGGUUUUCAGCUGAUUAGCAAGAAGAAAGCGCUCUCCUUGUGUUAAUACACUUACAAGGACACACACACACACACAUCGAACAUUGUGUAUAGUUCUUGUUAAUGCUUCUGGAUUCAUACCUUGAAAUCUUCUACCUAAUGUUCCACCGGUGCAGUCCCUUGCAAUCACAUAUGCUGCUUUUCAGAUUACAGUGGAUUGAGAUCUGAAUACAUGUUCUCCUUGGAGCUGUCAAGCAUUGUCUCAGCAUGCUACUGUAGCCGGGAUGGUGGUAGACAUUCCCGUUGGAGUUGAAGCCGCAGUAGAAGUCGGAGCUUAUAAGCUGGCACUGCUCCUCAUGAAAGCCUGCCGAGAUAUGUAAACAAGGAUAGAACAUCUGUAUCUAGCAAUCUGGCAAAACUUAGGGAUCUUUAUGGUGAUGUGAGCGUCCAAAAAGGGGAUGCUAGUAUGGAUAGGAUUCCCAGGAGUGAUAACGGUGCUGAAGAGGUGAUUAGGCUUGGUGGUCACCGAUGGAAAUAGUAUGAAGAGGUUCGUUUAAUCUGUUAUCAGAUUUGUCAUUUGAGUCUUCUGGCCAGAUACUCCUUUGACCGGGGAAAGAAUGGAGCAAAUCUUCCCUCAUGUUUUAUGUCUGUCUGCAAAGACAUUGAAAUGUAUUGAUGGAUGAUAUCCAUUGUAUCACCUUCAUGUCACAGUGCUGCUGCCUGUAUACUAGACCUUAUUCAGAAUUUCAGUUUUGAAAUCUAUUCAUGCUUCAUUAUGGGGCAUAUGUCAAAGUUUGUAACAUUAAGAUAAAUGAUUGCUAAUUGAAUUUCAGCUCUCUAUGAUCUGAGUUUUUCAAA